UUCUUUUCUUUGUCAACUACCUCAGUAGCCACAGGCCCCGUGGGGCCCCAGAAGUCAUCGUCAGUCCCCAAAGGCUUCGUAUGCAGGUCCCCCUGAGAGGCAGGAGAAGGCACGCACAAGAGUUCCACCGGUACUACCUCUGGGGAGCUUUCCUCUGAAACAGCAAGGCAGCGGUCAGCUCCAGAUUCUCCCACCUGGCCUCCCCUAGCCCCUAUCGCUGCACUGUAAGGGGCCCUUCCCAAGGCUGGCCUGCCUGGACCAUGGCAGGGAGUGUGUCUGCAGCUUCUGCUCCUGCUCCAUGGCUGCCUGCCUGCUGUCUGGGGAGCCCCACUCCAAUGCCUCCAGCCCAGCCUCCGCCCACCUCCCCUUCCCCACUGGAAUAGAAGUGCCACUCUCCCCAGCAUGCCCAGGUGGGCAGGCUGAGAGAGAACAUGGUUCAAAAGAUGAAAGGGGCCAGGCACCGUGGCUCUUGCCUGCAAUCUCAGCAAUUGGGAAGAUCUUGCUCACGUCCAGGAGUUUGAGAUUAGCCUGAGCAACAUGGGAAGCCGCCCUCUCUACAGAAAAAAGAAUAAUAUCCGCCAGGCAUGGUGAUGGCAGGGCAAAGAUGGAGAUGUGAAUUCCCAGGCCUUAGCAGCCAAGAAUGGAAGAGGCCGGACCCCGGUUCAGGGUUUGAUACAUGCCAUAGACAUUCUGGAGAGGGGAAGCACCAGCCGGUGGGUCUCGGAGAGAGGGAAACGGAAAUCCAGCCAGUUCCUAGGAGUGGGAGCCCUCUCGUGGGGGUAGCACCCUCUUGGGUGAGCCACAGCAGCCAGGAACCUGGGGACAGAUGAGCUUCAUGGUCAGGUGGAAAUGCACCCAACUGGGAGAAUGCGGGAGCUGCAGCAGAUUCCUCGGGGAAGGGAAGAUGGACUUUCCUGGCCCCGGGGCUUGCCCCUCAAGUCAGGGCCCUGGGCCUGGGUCAGCCAGAGGGAGUUCUGGGUCCCCCCUUACCGUCUGCUGAAGAUGAGCAGCUGAGGCUUCUCCUGCUCCAGGGCCCUCAGCUCCUGCCUCAUCUCAUCACUCAGAGUCGUCUGGUCCAGCCUGAAAGCACAAAGGGAGCCGGGUCCUCCUGGGAUCCCCCAUGUGGUCCCCAGGUCCCCAGGGCCCAGAAUCCCGGGACCUGUCACCUUCUGAGGCAGCGGCCGCAGGGUGGGUUCCCUGGAAGCCAGGCUCUGAGGAGGAGGGUACAGUGAGGAGAUUCAUUAGGGAUGAAUCAAUCCUGCCCUGCCUGUUCUGAGGCCCAGACAAGGAGGAGGUGAAAAGACCCUGUCUUCUGCUAAGGGCUCUGCAUUCAUUCCCCUACUGGUGUUAGAGCUGUUCUGCCCCUGGCGAGGAGUGCAGACCUUGAAGUAGAAGGUUAUUCUUCUCAACUAAGUCCUGGCUCCAGGAGGGAAGGAGGCGGAAACCUACUCGGGACGCUAGAGACCAAACCCCCUCGGAAGCAGCCCAGUUUUGACAGGUUUGGGAGGCCUGGCUGAGGAAAGCCCGAGGCCCAGGCUUCGCAGACCCCCUCUGAGAAGGCUCUGGAUGUGGGGGUUUGGAGCCCCUGUCUGCUCCCUGAGAUGUGGCAGGGCCCCUGGCAGGAGCCGUGGCAAACACUGGAGACAAUCUGGCUGCUCAUAACAGGCGAUGGAUAAAAACAUGAUGGUGAAGUCUGAUGGGACCAUGGAGCCUCAGCUCAUAGGUGAUGCCAUCUCCUGCCACCUCCCUCCCUUCCUCUAGGGGAAAUAGUUCUUGGUCAUCCUGCAUUUGAGUGUUGUGGGGCCCCCACUCAACCUCAGCCCAGUGAUUAUUGCCACCCUUUAUCUCUGGUGGGGGCCUGGAUCAGGCACGGUGAGCCAGAAUUAAUCAGGCCCCGGCUUACCUGUUACAGAGGAGACACACCUGUGUUCCUUUGGCACAGACAUUCUGGAGUCCCAGUGCCCAGAAAACAAGACGGGAGGCAGGAGCAGAGCCUGGGAGAGAUGGCCUGAGGAUGAUGUGAUGGAAGACUGUAUAUGAUCAUAUGCACUGCUGUCCAGAAAUAUUCCUUCCUGCUGGACUCAGAGAACCCCAGGACCUCUACCCAACGUGCCUGCUCCAAAGAAGGAAUGAGGUUCUGCAGAGCUGUGGUCCGAGC